rnacentral:rRNA from 1 species
GACAGCAGCAGCCACGGGAAUACGUAGGGUGCAAGCGUUAUCCGGAAUGAUUGGGCGUAAAGCGUGCGCAGGCGGUUGUGUAAGACAGGUGUGAAAUCCCCGGGCUUAACCUGGGAACUGCGCUUGUGACUGCACAGCUAGAGUAUGGCAGAGGGGGGUGGAAUUCCACGUGUAGCAGUGAAAUGCGUAGAGAUGUGGAGGAACACCGAUGGCGAAGGCAGCCCCCUGGGCCAAUACUGACGCUCAUGCACGAGAGCGUGGGGAGCAAACAGGAUUAGAUACCCCUGUAGUCCCUGUCUCUUAUAC